rnacentral:tRNA from 1 species
ACGGGUAAGAGCUCAGUGGUAGAGUGCACGCCUGACAUGCAAGAGGUCCUGGGUUCGAUCCCCAGUACCUCCA